rnacentral:lncRNA from 1 species
AGUAAUCUGCAUUAACAUAUAGUCAGUAUGACUUCAGAUUGCCUAAAGGAGUUCAAUGAAUUAGUUCUCCAUUAGUAAUUUGCCAAAAUCAUGUCGAAUCGCUCAUUAAACUCCCACUACAGUUCAGCAACAGCAAUUCACUUGCAAAUCUCUUCACGUUCCCUCAAACAGAGUUACCACGAGAUCAGAACUACAAAAUAAUAUAACAAUACUGGGGGAGCAUCUGCAUAAUGAAAAUAUUAUACUGCAGCUAAUUAUUUAAUUACUAACCCAUUUCACAUGUACUAUCUAGGUUCUCAUGAUAAUUUCUCUAAAAGAACAUGGACAAUUCAGUUUACAAUUUUCAACUUAGUGACAUGUAUAAACUAGCUUCCAUAUUCUAGCUCAACACUACUGACAGUAUGGCACAAAAAAUGACUAUUUAACCUAGCAAAUAUUACUAUAGAAGCAUCUCACGAUUGACCAAUAAGAACUCACUAACAGGGAGGAACAAAACAAAAGUGAUAUCUGAACCAAUCCCCGCAUGUAAGCGGUUCAUCUAAACUGAGAGGGGAUAGCUGAGCGUCGUACACAUGUAACAUGUUAACCCAGCCACCCAGGUUGCCGGUCGAGCUUAACGGACCUCCCGCAGAACUCCGGCGUGCCCCAGUGGUCUGUGCUCAAUGUAAAUCUGACGGACAAAACCAAAGAAGAAGAAAAACAAAGGGUCAACGAGAUGUAUCUGAUAAGUGCGGAAGGUGGGACAACUACGUGAUGACUCAUUAGUUAAUCAUACCACAGUGGCGGUAGUCCCUACGAAGGUGAUGCGUAGGCGAACCCGGCGGUCAAGGAAGCCAUAGCCAGUACCCACAUCACCAUGACUCCUCUGUCCUCUCCCUCAUUUGCUCCGAUGGAUCUGAGAAGUGUAUGGAGUGGCACCAUAGAGUAAGAGUUCAGUGCCUGCAAUCACACGAGAGGGAUCGGAGGAUGCACACACGCAGGCACUCAACACUAAUAACACACGUCACGCACACAGGCUGGGCCGUGGCCGUGCAACCAGGC